AUCUAACGAAGUACAACUUGUGGAUAAUGGAUGUUGACAUGAUGAUGCAAGCUCGCCAGUGUUUAAAAACGUAAGACGAUCUGCAAGAUCAUGGUAUGAAACUAAAAUGUAAACAAAAAUAUGGUCACGAGCUGAUGUUACAACCUCAAAGGGAGGAGAAGUGGACCACAAUAAGGAACUGAGACUAAAUGCUGGCCUGUGAAAAGUUAACAUGCAGGAGAUACAGAGAAGGGGAAGCAGCUUCACUCAUCCAAAGUCAGGUUUGUUGGUUCGGUAGGGGGCAUUGUGUGUAACUAAUCAUGUAAUAUACUUUUUAAUUCCAUACCCAAAGGUAGAGUUAAAGCACGCAUACUGUGAAAUAUAAUAAUUUCUUUACCUAUGUCCUUUUCUCCUUUUGCAGUUCAUUAACUCAAUAAGAAAAUAAGAAUGAAAUUUAUCACAAGUCUGUAUAUUUAAAAAAUAAGUUUGAAAUCAUUUUUGAAACAGCAAGGGGGCAAAUAUUGUAAUUCACAUACAAGCAUCCUCAUAAAGUGUAGAUUUAAGUUUGCAUGGAUCUGCAAACAGGAGUUCAAACCAAGAAUUAUAUUCAUUACUUUCAGUGAUACAUGUAGCACCCAAAACAGAACUUGUCUUAGAUAUUCUUAUGAUAAAUCUGUAUACCAAAUUUAGAUCAUUUCAGUAACUGCAACAGUUGUGAAGA